rnacentral:rRNA from 1 species
UACGUAGGGGGCAAGCGUUGUUCGGAUUUACUGGGCGUAAAGGGCGCGUAGGCGGCCACCGCAAGUCGACUGUGAAAUCUCCGGGCUUAACUCGGAAAGGUCAACUGAUACUGUGCGACUAGAGUGCAGAAGGGGCAACUGGAAUUCUCGGUGUAGCGGUGAAAUGCGUAGAUAUCGAGAGGAACACCUGCGGCGAAGGCGGGUUGCUGGGCCGACACUGACGCUGAGGCGCGAAAGCGUGGGGAGCGAACAGG